ACGGGUGAGUAACGCGUGGGAACAUACCCAACUCUACGGAAUAACUCAGGGAAACUUGUGCUAAUACCGUAUACGCCCUUCGGGGGAAAGAUUUAUCGGAGUUGGAUUGGCCCGCGUUGGAUUAGCUAGUUGGUGGGGUAAAGGCCUACCAAGGCGACGAUCCAUAGCUGGUCUGAGAGGAUGAUCAGCCACAUUGGGACUGAGACACGGCCCAAACUCCUACGGGAGGCAGCAGUGGGGAAUAUUGGACAAUGGGCGCAAGCCUGAUCCAGCCAUGCCGCGUGUGUGAUGAAGGCCUUAGGGUUGUAAAGCACUUUCACCGGAGAAGAUAAUGACGGUAUCCGGAGAAGAAGCCCCGGCUAACUUCCUGCCAGCAGCCGCGGUAAUACGAAGGGGGCUAGCGUUGUUCGGAAUUACUGGGCGUAAAGCGCACGUAGGCGGAUCGAUCAGUCAGGGUUGAAAUCGCAUAGCUCAACUCUGGAACUGCCUUUGAUACUGUCGGUCUAGAGUAUGGAAGAAGUGAGUGGAAUUCCGAGUGUAGAGGUUCAAUUCGGUAGA
rnacentral:rRNA from 2 species